rnacentral:rRNA from 1 species
CCUACGGGAGGCUGCAGUGGGGAAUAUUGCACAAUGGGGGCAACCCUGAUGCAGCGACGCCGCGUGGGUGACGAAGUAUCUCGGUAUGUAAAGCCCUAUCAGCAGGGACGAAGAUGACACUACCUGACUAAGACGCUCCGGCUAACUACGUACCAGGAGCCGCGGUAAUCCGUAGGGGGAAAACGGUAACUGGAUUUACUGGGUGUAGAGGGAGCGUAGGUGGCAUGGCAAGACAGACGUGAAAACCCGGGGCUUAACCCCGCGGAUGGCUUUUGGGACUGGCAGGCUGGAGGGCAGGAGGGGGAGGCGGAAUUCCUGGUGUAGCGGUGAAAUGCGUAGAUAUGAGGAGGAACACCGGUGGCGAAGGCGGCCUGCUGGACUAUAACUGACACUGAGGCUCGAAAGCGUGGGGAGCAAACAGGAUUAGAUACCCCAGUAGUC